GUCCAGGGUAGCUAGUGGUCAUGGCAUCUGCCCGGUAAGCGGAAGGUCGUGGGUUCGAUUCCCAUCCCUUGACA
rnacentral:tRNA from 1 species